rnacentral:lncRNA from 1 species
CGAAUCCCCAACAUGAUGGUGAGGAGGUGGAGGCUCUGGGAAGUGAUUAGGUCAUGAUGGUGAGGAGGUGGAGGAUCUGGAAGUGAUCAGGUCCUGAUGGUGAGGAGGUGGAGGAUCUGGAAGUGAUUAGGUGGUGAUGGUGAGGAGGUGGAGGAUCUGGAAGUGAUUAGGUCGUGAUGGUGAGGAGGUGGAGGAUCUGGGAAGUGAUUAGGUCGUGAUGGUGAGGAGGUGGAGGAUCUGGAAGUGAUUAGGUCGUGAUGGCGAGGAGGUGGAGGAUCUGGGAAGUGAUUAGGUCGUGAUGGUGAGGAGGUGGAGGAUCUGGGAAGUGAUUAGGUCGUGAUGGUGAGGAGGUGGAGGCUCUGGGAAGUGAUUAGGUAGUGAUGGUGAGGAGAUGGAGGAUCUGGAAGUGAUUAGCUCAUGAUGGUGAGGAAGUAGAGGAUCUGGAAGUGAUUAGGUCGUGAUGGUGAGGAGGUGGAGGAUCUGGAAGUGAUUAGGUCGUGAUGGUGAGGAGGUGGAGGCUCUGGGAAGUGAUUAGGUCGUGACGGUGAGGAGGUGGAGGAUCUGGGAAGUGAUUAGGUCGUG